rnacentral:rRNA from 1 species
CAGAAGUGCGAAUGCUGACAUAAGUAACGAUAAAGCGGGUGAAAAGCCCGCUCGCCGGAAGACCAAGGGUUCCUGUCCAACGUUAAUCGGGGCAGGGUGAGUCGACCCCUAAGGCGAGGCCGAAAGGCGUAGUCGAUGGGAAACAGGUUAAUAUUCCUGUACUUGGUGUUACUGCGAAGGGGGGACGGAGAAGGCUAUGUUAGCCGGGCGACGGUUGUCCCGGUUUAAGCAUGUAGGCUGAUUGUCCAGGCAAAUCCGGAUAAUCAAGGCUGAGGUGUGAUGACGAGGCACUACGGUGCUGAAGUAACAAAUGCCCUGCUUCCAGGAAAAGCCUCUAAGCAUCAGGUAACAUUAAAUCGUACCCCAAACCGACACAGGUGGUCAGGUAGAGAAUACCAAGGCGCUUGAGAGAACUCGGGUGAAGGAACUAGGCAAAAUGGUGCCGUAACUUCGGGAGAAGGCACGCUGGUGUGUAGGUGAAGUCCCUGCGGAUGGAGCUGAGACCAGUCGAAGAUACCAGCUGGCUGCAACUGUUUAUUAAAAACACAGCACUGUGCAAACACGAAAGUGGACGUAUACGGUGUGACGCCUGCCCGGUGCCGGAAGGUUAAUUGAUGGGGUUAUCCGUAAGGAGAAGCUCUUGAUCGAAGCCCCGGUAAACGGCGGCCGUAACUAUAACGGUCCUAAGGUAGCGAAAUUCCUUGUCGGGUAAGUUCCGACCUGCACGAAUGGCGUAAUGAUGGCCAGGCUGUCUCCACCCGAGACUCAGUGAAAUUGAACUCGCUGUGAAGAUGCAGUGUACCCGCGGCAAGACGGAAAGACCCCGUGAACCUUUACUAUAGCUUGACACUGAACAUUGAGCCUUGAUGUGUAGGAUAGGUGGGAGGCUUUGAAGCGUGGACGCCAGUCUGCGUGGAGCCAACCUUGAAAUACCACCCUUUAAUGUUUGAUGUUCUAACGUUGGCCCCUGACCGGGGUUGCGGACAGUGUCUGGUGGGUAGUUUGACUGGGGCGGUCUCCUCCCAAAGCGUAACGGAGGAGCACGAAGGUUAGCUAAUCCUGGUCGGACAUCAGGAGGUUAGUGCAAUGGCAUAAGCUAGCUUGACUGCGAGCGUGACGGCGCGAGCAGGUGCGAAAGCAGGUCAUAGUGAUCCGGUGGUUCUGAAUGGAAGGGCCAUCGCUCAACGGAUAAAAGGUACUCCGGGGAUAACAGGCUGAUACCGCCCAAGAGUUCAUAUCGACGGCGGUGUUUGGCACCUCGAUGUCGGCUCAUCACAUCCUGGGGCUGAAGUAGGUCCCAAGGGUAUGGCUGUUCGCCAUUUAAAGUGGUACGCGAGCUGGGUUUAGAACGUCGUGAGACAGUUCGGUCCCUAUCUGCCGUGGGCGCUGGAGAAUUGAGGGGGGCUGCUCCUAGUACGAGAGGACCGGAGUGGACGCAUCACUGGUGUUCGGGUUGUCAUGCCAAUGGCACUGCCCGGUAGCUAAAUGCGGAAGAGAUAAGUGCUGAAAGCAUCUAAGCACGAAACUUGCCCCGAGAUGAGUUCUCCCUGAGACUUUAAGUCUCCUGAAGGAACGUUAAAGACGAUGACGUUGAUAGGCCGGGUGUGUAAGCGCAGCGAUGCGUUGAGCUAACCGGUACUAAUGAACCGUGAGGCUUAACCUU